AUUGAACGCUGGCGGCAGGCCUAACACAUGCAAGUCGAGCGGGAACUUCGGUUCUAGCGGCGGACGGGUGAGUAAUGCGUAGGAAGCUACCCGAUAGAGGGGGAUACCAGUUGGAAACGACUGUUAAUACCGCAUAAUGUCUACGGACCAAAGUGUGGGACCUUCGGGCCACAUGCUAUCGGAUGCGCCUACGUGGGAUUAGCUAGUUGGUGAGGUAAUGGCUCACCAAGGCGACGAUCCCUAGCUGGUUUGAGAGGAUGAUCAGCCACACUGGAACUGAGACACGGUCCAGACGCCUACGGGAGGCAGCAGUGGGGAAUAUUGGACAAUGGGCGAAAGCCUGAUCCAGCCAUGCCGCGUGUGUGAAGAAGGCCUUCGGGUUGUAAAGCACUUUCAGCGAGGAGGGAGGGGUUGUAGUUAAUAGCUGCAACCUUUGACGUUACUCGCAGAAGAAGCACCGGCUAACUCUGUGCCAGCAGCCGCCGUAAGAC
rnacentral:rRNA from 1 species